rnacentral:rRNA from 1 species
AUACGUAGGUGGCAAGCGUUAUCCGGAAUUAUUGGGCGUAAAGAGGGAGCAGGCGGCAGCAAGGGUCUGUGGUGAAAGCCUGAAGCUUAACUUCAGUAAGCCAUAGAAACCAGGCAGCUAGAGUGCAGGAGAGGAUCGUGGAAUUCCAUGUGUAGCGGUGAAAUGCGUAGAUAUAUGGAGGAACACCAGUGGCGAAGGCGACGAUCGGGCCUGCAACUGACGCUCAGUCCCGAAAGCGUGGGGAGCAAAUAGGAUUAGAUACCCUAGUAGUCCACGCCGUAAACGAUGAGUACUAAGUGUUGGAUGUCAAAGUUCAGUGCUGCAGUUAACGCAAUAAGUACUCCGCCUGAGUAGUACGUUCGCAAGAAUGAAACUCAAAGGAAUUGACGGGG